AUUGAACGCUGGGGCAUGCCUUACACAUGCAAGUCGAACGGCAACAGGUCUUCGGAUGCUGACGAGUGGCGAACGGGUGAGUAAUACAUCGGAACGUGCCUAGUAGUGGGGGAUAACUACUCGAAAGAGUGGCUAAUACCGCAUGAGAUCUACGGAUGAAAGCAGGGGAUCGCAAGACCUUGUGCUACUAGAGCGGCCGAUGGCAGAUUAGGUAGUUGGUGGGAUAAAAGCUUACCAAGCCGACGAUCUGUAGCUGGUCUGAGAGGACGAUCAGCCACACUGGGACUGAGACACGGCCCAGACUCCUACGGGAGGCAGCAGUGGGGAAUUUUGGACAAUGGGCGCAAGCCUGAUCCAGCAAUGCCGCGUGCAGGAUGAAGGCCUUCGGGUUGUAAACUGCUUUUGUACGGAACGAAAAGCCCCGGGUUAAUACCCUGGGGUCAUGACGGUACCGUAAGAAUAAGCACCGGCUAACUACGUGCCAGCCGCCGCAGUAA
rnacentral:rRNA from 1 species